rnacentral:lncRNA from 1 species
GACACAGCCCAGGUAACACACAGGGAAGCGCUGAACCACCUCACUCUUGGGGGCUGGGAACUCCACUGUGGGGGAGGCACUGUCAGACACCCAAAGCCCCCCAAAACACCCCAGAGCCCGAACAUCCCUCCAGAACCCCUCCCCACCCCUCAGUACUCACCCAGCAUGCAAACCCCCCAUCAAGACCUCUUGGAGGCUGGGCACUCCAGUGUGGGGGGAACAUGGCAGAUGUCCCAGAGCCCUUCAAGACCCCCCCAGAACACCCCCAGAACUCCCAACACCCCCAACUGCACUGCCUUGCUCCUGGGGGCCAGGUGGUGGGGAACAUUGUCAGACACGUCCCCAAACCUCCCUAAAAGCCACCCUUCUCCCAGCUGCCCUUCCCCAGCAAAGGCAACCUCCAGACACACAAGCCCCCUCCUCUGUAGUCGCCCUAUCCCCUCGCAGGACUCCCCCAGGAGUCCUCCAGCCAUUCUUAGUCACUCCCAGACUCCCAAUCCCUUCCUGGGUACCCCCCAGCACCACCCCAAUUCUUUCACAGGUACCCCCCUUAAGCCCCAUACCCUGCAGGGGAGGCUCCCCCAGCCGGGGGGGGUCUGUCCCCAGGCCGUUGCCUGCUGCCCGGACACUUCGCCGUUCCGCCGUCAGCUGGGGGACAGGGGGACACAGCCCCCUCAGAUGUCACACCACAGUGACCUCCAGGGACCCCGUGGUGACCCACAGUCCCCCAGACGUCACACAAGGGGCACCCGUAGCCCUCCUGGCUGUCACACCGUGGACAGGGACACACGGGGACCCUCAGGGAUCCCUGGCCCCUGUGCCCUGCAGCAGGUCUGUGGGGUGGGGAGGGGCUCACUCAGGAACAGGCUUUGGGGUUGGCUGGAGGGGCCCAGAGGUCUCACCUGUGAGCAGAUGUGGUGCAGGCUAGGGCAUGUCCUGGUGGGUUUCUGGGGGUCUCACCUGGGCACAGAUGUGGUGCAGACCACAGAAGGGGAAUUUGGGGCGGGUUACCUUGGCCUGGGGGGUCUUGGGGGUGUUUCAUCGGGGCCCAGACCUGGUGCAGGACAGGUGGGGGGUUCUUGGGGGCUUUUUUGGGGUCUCAUCUAGGCAGAGAUGCAGCUCAGGCCAAGGUGGCAGUUUGGGGGGGAAACCAAGUUUGGGGGCUGGGAAUGUUUUGCCUGGACACAGAACCGGUGUUUGGCCAGAGCGGGGAUUCCCAGGGAAAUUUCACGGGGUGUCUCACUUGAUCACAGACAUGGUGCAGGCUACGGGGAUG